rnacentral:tRNA from 1 species
GUAAAUGGUAUUAGUUGGUAGAGCAGCUGACUCUUAAUCAGCGGGUCCAGGGUUCGAGCCCCUGCGCUUCUACCA